GGCAUUCUAAGAUAAAGGGACAAGAGCAUAGGUUCACUGGGGCAUGGUUUCAGAAAGGAAAUCAAUGAGAGUAGUGUCCUCAAUAGAAAAUUAACCCACAUCCAUAAAUUACAACUAUAACCAUCUGUCCUUGUUCCUCAAGAGAUUCUACUUUAUGAAUAAACUUACAAAUAGGUUUAUGUUGCUGGUAUAUAACACUUGGCUCUCAGUGUUUAUUGACUUUCCCUACAGGACCACAGGGAUUACCAACUCACAGUGGUUUGGUGAGUGCAUCCAUAUGCUUACCUGCUAUGUGCUCCCGUUGAUGCCGUCACCAGCACACAGAAAUCAUGCAUCGUGGCAAGAAUUCUACAUUCUCCAAAUUUAAUAGAAA